UGGCUCGUAGCUCAGUUGGCAGAGCAGCGGAUUGUUAAUCCGCGCGUCGUAGGUUCGAGUCCUACCGGGUCAGCC
rnacentral:tRNA from 1 species